rnacentral:rRNA from 1 species
GAUGAACGCUGGCGGCGUGCCUAAUACAUGCAAGUCGAGCGGACGGACGAGACGCUUGUUUCUUUGAUGUUAGCGGAGGACGGGUGAGUAACACGUGGAUAACCUACUUAUAUUUCUGGGAUCACUUCGGGAAUCCGGAGAAAAUACCGGAUGAUAUUUUGAACCGUAUGGUUCAAAAGAGAAUGGCGGCCUUGCUGUAUCUAAUAGAUGGUUACGGGCUGCUUUAGCUAGUUGGUAAGGUCACGGCUUACCAAGGCGACUAUGCAUAGCCGACCGGAUAGGGGGAUAGGCGACACGAGAACUGGAACGCGGUCCAUGCGCCUACGGUAGGCAGCAGUAUGGAAUGUGAGGCAAUGGUCGGAAGCCUUACGGAGCAAGGCCGCGUGAGUGAUGGAGGUCUUCGGAUCGUAAAACUCUGUUAUUAGUGAAGAACAGAUGUGUAAGUAACUGUGCACAGCGUGACGGUACCGAAUCAGAAAGCAACGGCUAACUACGUG